AUUAUUAUUAUAUUGUUUGCUUUAGCACGCUUUCCACCAGCCGCCGACUGUGAGCAUACGUAGCGUACGCAGCGUCCAUACGUAUUCAACUUUUCGUUUAUACUGAUAGUGAUAAUGCGCACUGUGCGUAGACGCUGACUACCGUUGAAAGUCAGCGUCUGUGGCGUAUAUACGUAGGUACUAGUACCUACUUCGUAGUACUACGUAUUCUACUACGUUAGAUGUAAACACCAUGGAAUUAAUAUAAAACUACAUGGAAUACUUCUUCGUUGGUACUGGUACUUACAAUGUCUUUGGGGAACGCUCACUAAAUACAAUAAAUAUGUGUAAUAAACGGUACUAAUGAGUUCAAUUUAAAUAAAAUUCCUAUUGAGAUGAUUACGGAAUGCUCAAAUAUUGUGUGUUUGUUUUAUGAUGAGUUAUAGGAAAGUCUUGCUUGCCACCUAUUUAUUAUAACGAAGAAAUUGAUAUGAUAUAAAAACUUGCCUUAGGAAGAACGAAAAAAUUUUUUUUUCCAGCCAAAUUGUACCUACACUGAUUUUCUUAUUAUUGAAUGGUUGUAUUUUAGUGUGAUGAAGUUCGUAUGUUUUCUCCUUUAUUUAUGUAAUUAUAUGUGACUACAUAUAAAGUUAUUUAUGCUUAGAAAACGUUUAUAAAAUAAUAAUCAUUUUUAUUCGAACUUAUAAAUACUGUUAUUUCUAUUUGGAGAUGGAUCAUAAUGAAUGAAAUAGAAUUUACCAUUUUGCUUCCAAGGAUCAUUCGAAAUGACUAUUUGAUUGAAAUAGUAGGUAUGCUGAUUUAAUAUUAUACCUAAAGUUACAGAGAAAAUACUUAGAUUUUUUUUAAAUUGUCAAGUUAAAUAACAGUUUUAUUCAGGUUUUAAAUUCCUCUACAGACAAACAGCUACGGUUUAAGCAUACCAUUAAAAUAUUGUAGGUACUUAACUAAAAUUUUGUACAAAGGGUCAUAAAAAUGUUAAUGUGAUAUCUAAAUAAGGCAAUGAAAUAAAUUGACCAAUAAGAUAGUAUGACCUGCGAGUACCUACACUUUAAGUAAGUAUAACAAAAAAGCUUUCUAUAAAACCGAUUUAUUCCAAUCUUUUUAGCAUUGUCUUAUACGUUGAUGUUAUAUUCCUUGUAUUAUGUACUUUGAAUCUAUUUAAAAAAAUCAAUAAUUUAAUAAAUUCCUUAUAAACCAA